GACGAACCGUGCGAACGUUGUUCGGAAUCACUGGGCUUAAAGGGCGCGUAGGCGGUCAGCACAAGUCAGUUGUGAAAUCUCCGGGCUUAACUCGGAAAGGUCAACUGAUACUGUGCGACUAGAGUGCAGAAGGGGCAACUGGAAUUCUCGGUGUAGCGGUGAAAUGCGUAGAUAUCGAGAGGAACACCUGCGGCGAAGGCGGGUUGCUGGGCUGACACUGACGCUGAUGCGCGAAAGCGUGGGGAGCAAACGGG
rnacentral:rRNA from 1 species